rnacentral:rRNA from 1 species
UACGAAGGGGGCUAGCGUUGCUCGGAAUUACUGGGCGUAAAGGGCGCGUAGGCGGGUCGUUUAGUUAGAGGUGAAAGCCCAGGGCUCAACCCUGGAAUUGCCUUUAAUACUGGCGGCCUUGAGUAUGGCAGAGGUGUGUGGAACUCCGAGUGUAGAGGUGAAAUUCGUAGAUAUUCGGAAGAACACCAGUGGCGAAGGCGACACACUGGGCCAUUACUGACGCUGAGGAGCGAAAGCAUGGGGAGCGAACAGG